UUUUUAAACAGCUGCGUACUAAAACACAUUUUGCAGCUCGGGCACGUGAGUGUCCUUGACGAAACAAACCUGUUCACUUGAGUUAGUUCUAUGUGUCACACCACAAUUGAUGAAGGAAGUAUUCUUUGCUCCAAGCUCCAAGAGGGAUUUGC